GCAUGCGCACAGCGUCUAUUCAGUGCAGACGGAGGGAUAGGGAGCAUGCCAGCGGCUCACAGAGCGCUGGGCAUGCCCCCUCAGUGACGAAAACGGGGGCGUGGCUCGCGAUUGCGGGUCCUCCCGCGAAACCACGCCCCCUUUUCGGGAGCGCGCGCAGGAGAAGAAAGUUGGGAGCAAAGUGGAUCGCAGAGGAGGGACUGUAAAUGGCAUCAAAGUGGAUCGCAGAGGAGGAACUGUAAAUGGCAUCACUGCUGUGGCUGCCUGCAAAACACAACACUCUGAUGAAGAGUGAAAGAACAGGAUAGGCAGAAAUAACUUACAUGUGCAGUCCAGGGACGCUUCAUUUCUCAAGCAAGAUGGCUGCCGAGGAUAAAACUGUGCAUGCGUGGUGCCAUCUUGUCACUUGUGUAGGAAUGACAUGGUGGGAGACGAACAUCUCCUAUUUAGCUCCAGUGAGACCCUACAAGUACCUGCAAUUACAGCUGUUCCAGCAUCCCUGCACUGCUACCGCUUGUAAAAAAACAGAUACCAGCUGAUUAUGACAGAUAAAUGAAGAAGAAUAAGCAACAUAGAAAAAUAAAAUUUGACAGCAGAACCACUUGGGAAGGAGAAGGAGAACUAGAAGAAGAAGAAAAAAAUAAGAAGAAAUUAAAUUAUGACAUUUUUCAUUUAGACUAUCGUGAUUAUGAAACGUUUUUGAAUAAAGUGCUGAAUUUAGAGUGUAUUACUUUAUAAAACUUUAUGGGAAGCAGAGAUAAGUGAGUCAAAGUAAAAAACAGUACUGAAAGCAAAGAUCAGUAUUUUUGUCAUUGAUAGGUUUCAUGCUAAGUGAAAGCUACCAAUGACAAUAACCCCAUCGGCAAACAUUAAAGGUGCACCCAUCCUUUUGUAUUAGGGAAACUCUUUAUCAUGUAUACAGUAGUAAUGGUACAUAUAUGGUCUAUUUACUUUAACUCCGAUUGACGCUAAUCCAAAGCAGACCUCUGAAUAAAGUACAUUUUUCAUGGAAAUUAAUAUGACGUUUGUCCUGCCCCUGUAAAAAGUUAUAUUUUUUUUGUUUGCUGGAAAGGGGAAUUAUAUAAUAUAAUUAAAACAUUUUAUUUCCCAUUGGAUUUUUAUUUCUAAAAGCUAUAAAAGUGUAUAUACGUAUACAGUUAGGGCCAUAUAUAAUUGGACACUGACACAAUUUGUGGCAUUUAACUGUUUACCAAAAUGUAUUUAAGUUACAGUUAUAUAAUGAAUACGGUUUUAAAGUGCAGACUAUUAACUUUAAUUUUAGGAUAUUCACAUCCAAAUUAGAGGAAGGGUUUUACAGCUGUUUAAUAUGCAACCCUCUCUUUUUUAAGGGACCAAAAGUAAUUAGACAAUUGACUCAAAAACUAUUUCAUGGACAAGAAUGGGCUAUUCCUUCAUUAUCUCUUUAUCAGUUAGGCAGGCUGAAUUUUGGAGUUGAUCCCAAGUGUGGCAUUGCAUUUGGAAGCAGUUGCUUUGAACCCACUACAUGCCAUUAAAAGGAGCUCUCAAUGCAAGU